GGUUCCGUGGCGCAAUUGGUUAGCGCGUGGUGCUAAUAACGCCAAGGCUGAGGGUUCGAUCCCCUCCGGGACCA
rfam:TPA: Aspergillus nidulans FGSC A4 chromosome VII